GCAUUAGUGGUGUAAUGGUUAACAUGUGGUCUUCCCACCAGCAUGGGCCGCGUUCGGGGUUCGAUUCCCCGCUAAUGCA